UGGUGAUGCUGAAUGAUGAGAACAGAGAAGGGAGAAAGGCAACCACAUUAUCUUCCGUGUUUGCAAGACUAAUCUGCUCCUGGGGCCUUCUAAGAGCUGCUCUGUGGAAGGAGCGCAGCCCAGGAGUCUGGAACAUGACUCUAAUCCUGCCUGUUGGAACUUGGGAGAAAUUAUUUUAUGUCAACUUUGGCUUAUUUAUCUUAAGAUUAGGCCAUUUCAGCCUUAAAAGGCCUAUGAUUUACAAUAGUACUUUGGUGGGAGAAAUAUGUAAUGGCUGACAUAAAUUAAUAUGCUAAAUUAUACUACGGAUGGCAAAAAAGACUGAGAUUUGUACACGGAUUUACACUUUACGAAGCACUUUCGCGUGCCUUAUUUCAACCUUACCACGACAACUGAGGAGAAAAAUUCUCAAUUGAUCUAACAUACUGGGCACACCCUUCCUACCACAGAGCAGAUAACCAGAUUACCUGAAAAUGCAACUGGAGCAGAGGAAGGCUUAAAAUGUGUCAUCAUUCUGAUUGACCUACGACCCUCCUCCAUGGUCUGAUGAGGAACGCUUCUAGGCCCAAACAGGUGAACAGUGAAGCUACUAGUGCUGGCAGGAAUGCAUGAGCCCCAUGCAUCUGAAGCCUAAAGAGCAGAGACUGAAUGUCAGAGAACACCACACACAUCACCCUCUAGACUCGAGAACGACAGCAGAAGACGAGAGGAAGAGCAGAGACUCGGGGAAGCACUGGUAACCACCAUCUGAUACCCUCACCUUCAUGCU